rnacentral:rRNA from 1 species
UACGAAGGGGGCUAGCGUUGUUCGGAAUUACUGGGCGUAAAGGGCGCGUAGGCGGGUAUUCAAGUCUAUGGUGAAAUCCGGCAGCUCAACUGUCGAAUUGCCGUGGAUACUGGGUAUCUCGAGGGAGGUAGGGGCGUGCGGAACUAAUGGUGGAGCGGUGAAAUGCGUUGAUAUCAUUAGGAACUCCGGUGGCGAAGGCGGCACGCUGGACCUCUUCUGACGCUGAGGCGCGAAAGCUAGGGUAGCAAACGGG